AUCAUACGACUCUCGGCAACGGAUAUCUCGGCUCUCGCAUCGAUGAAGAACGUAGCGAAAUGCGAUACUUGGUGUGAAUUGCAGAAUCCCGUGAACCAUCGAGUCUUUGAACGCAAGUUGCGCCCGAGGCCUUUCGGCCGAGGGCACGCCUGCCUGGGCGUCACGC
rnacentral:rRNA from 4 species